UUUAUAUGGAGUUCAGAAACCAUUCAAACGAAGCGGAACCGAAAAGCUAAAUGAGUAGGGAAAUA
rfam:Chryseobacterium sp. BLS98 contig02, whole genome shotgun sequence.